GGCGGACGGGUGAGUAAUGUCUGGGAAACUGCCCGAUGGAGGGGGAUAACUACUGGAAACGGUAGCUAAUACCGCAUAACGUCGCAAGACCAAAGAGGGGGACCUUCGGGCCUCUUGCCAUCAGAUGUGCCCAGAUGGGAUUAGCUAGUAGGUGGGGUAACGGCUCACCUAGGCGACGAUCCCUAGCUGGUCUGAGAGGAUGACCAGCCACACUGGAACUGAGACACGGUCCAGACUCCUACGGGAGGCAGCAUG
rnacentral:rRNA from 1 species